rnacentral:rRNA from 1 species
AACGAACGCUGGCGGCAGGCCUAACACAUGCAAGUCGAGCGCGCCCUUCGGGGUGAGCGGCGGACGGGUGAGUAACGCGUGGGAACGUGCCCUUUUCUACGGAAUAGCCUCGGGAAACUGAGAGUAAUACCGUAUACGCCCUUUGGGGGAAAGAUUUAUCGGAAAAGGAUCGGCCCGCGUUGGAUUAGGUAGUUGGUGGGGUAAUGGCCUACCAAGCCGACGAGCCAUAGCUGGUUUGAGAGGAUGAUCAGCCACACUGGGACUGAGACACGGCCCAGACUCCUACGGGAGGCAGCAGUGGGGAAUCUUAGACAAUGGGGGCAACCCUGAUCUAGCCAUGCCGCGUGAGUGAUGAAGGCCUUAGGGUUGUAAAGCUCUUUCAGCUGGGAAGAUAAUGACGGUACCAGCAGAAGAAGCCCCGGCUAACUCCGUG